UGCUAUAAUCUCCAAUAACUACUGAUAUAACAUAAAACCUUAAGUUUUGAAGAUACAAUUAUGGCAUGCUCUUUUUCAGAAAUACAGCAGGUUUCAAUAUUGACAAUAGUAAAACAUUAAAAUUAUACUUUCAGGAUAUGCUAAUAUCAAAUGUGAUAAUAUGUGAUGAAGCAGUGAGAGAUGGAGAAAAGCUGAUAGUUAACCAAAACCUCAAUGAAGGAUACUUUUUCCCUAAUUUGAUAGCUUUCUAACCAGCAUCUACAACCGGUGAAGGUUUUCAAUAUAUAUAAUUAAUCUGAC
rnacentral:lncRNA from 1 species